UACGUAGGGUGCAAGCGUUAAUCGGAAUUACUGGGCGUAAAGCGUGCGCAGGCGGUUUUGUAAGUCUGUCGUGAAAUCCCCGGGCUCAACCUGGGAAUUGCGAUGGAGACUGCAAGGCUAGAAUCUGGCAGAGGGGGGUAGAAUUCCACGUGUAGCAGUGAAAUGCGUAGAGAUGUGGAGGAACACCGAUGGCGAAGGCAGCCCCCUGGGUCAAGAUUGACGCUCAUGCACGAAAGGCGUGGGGAGC
rnacentral:rRNA from 1 species